rnacentral:rRNA from 1 species
AGUGAACGCUGGCGGUAGGCCUAACACAUGCAAGUCGAACGGCAGCACAGUAAGAGCUUGCUCUUACGGGUGGCGAGUGGCGGACGGGUGAGGAAUACAUCGGAAUCUACUUUUUCGUGGGGGAUAACGUAGGGAAACUUACGCUAAUACCGCAUACGACCUACGGGUGAAAGCAGGGGAUCUUCGGACCUUGCGCGAUUGAAUGAGCCGAUGUCGGAUUAGCUAGUUGGCGGGGUAAAGGCCCACCAAGGCGACGCUCCGUAGCUGGUCUGAGAGGAUGAUCAGCCACACUGGAACUGAGACACGGUCCAGACUCCUACGGGAGGCAGCAGUGGGGAAUAUUGGACAAUGGGCGCAAGCCUGAUCCAGCCAUACCGCGUGAGUGAAGAAGGCCUUCGGGUUGUAAAGCCCUUUUGUUGGGAAAGAAAAGCAGCAGGUUAAUACCCCGCUGUUCUGACGGUACCCAAAGAAUAAGCACCGGCUAACUUCGUG